GAUGAAGAACGCAGCGAAAUACGAUAAGUAAUGUGAAUUGCAGAAUUCAGUGAAUCAUCGAAUCUUUGAACGCACAUUGCGCCCCCUGGUAUUCCGGGGGGCAUGCCUGUCCGAGCGUCAUUACAACCCUCAAGCUCAGCUUGGUGUUGGGCCCCGCCGCCCCGGCGGGCCCUAAAGUCAGUGGCGGUGCCGUCCGGCUCCGAGCGUAGUAAUUCUUCUCGCUCUGGAGGUCCGGUCGUGUGCUCGCCAGCAACCCCCAAUUUUUUUCAGGUUGACCUCGGAUCAGGUAGGGAUACCCGCUGAACUUAAGCAUAUCAAUAAGCGGAGGA
rnacentral:misc_RNA from 1 species